rnacentral:misc_RNA from 1 species
GAAAUGCGCUAAGUAAUGUGAAUUGCAGAAUUCAGUGAAUCAUCGAAUCUUUGAACGCACCUUGCGCUCCUUGGUAUUCCUUGGAGCAUGCCUGUUUGAGUAUCAUGAAAUCUUCAAAGUAAAUCUUUUGUUAACUCAAUUGGUUUCUACUUUGGUAUUGGAGGUCUUUGCAGCUUCACACCUGCUCCUCUUUGUUCAUUAGCUGGAUCUCAGUGUUAUGCUUGGUUCCACUCGGCGUGAUAAGUUAUCUAUCGCUGAGGACACUGUAAAAGGUGGCCAAGGUAAAUGCAGAUGAACCGCUUCUAAUAGUCCAUUGACUUGGACAAUACUUUUAUGAUCUGAUCUCAAAUCAGGUAGGACUACCCGCUGAACUUAAGC